UGGCCCGUAGUUCAACGGUAAGAACGGAUCGCUGAUAACGAUCAGACAAGAGUUCAACUCUCUUCGGGCCAA
rnacentral:tRNA from 1 species